AUUGAACGCUAGCGGGAUGCCUUACACAUGCAAGUCGAACGGCAGCGCGGACUUCGGUCUGGCGGCGAGUGGCGAACGGGUGAGUAAUGUAUCGGAACGUGCCCAGUAGCGGGGGACAACCACUCGAAAGAGUGGCUAAUACCGCAUACGCCCUACGGGGAAAGGGGGGAGUCGCAAGACCUCUCACUAAUUGGAGCGGCCGAUAUCGGAUUAGCUAGUUGGUGGGGUAAAGGCCUACCAAGGCGACGAUCCGUAGCUGGUUUGAGAGGACGACCAGCCACACUGGGACUGAGACACGGCCCAGACUCCUACGGGAGGCAGCAGUGGGGAAUUUUGGACAAUGGGGGAAACCCUGAUCCAGCCAUUCCGCGUGUGCGAUGAAGGCC
rnacentral:rRNA from 1 species